GGAGGUGUUAAAGGGCAGGAGCUGGCUGGAGGCAGCCUGGUAGUGUCUCUGUGGGCCUGUGCCUUGCUGGUGCCCUCCUGUGGGAGGUGAGGUUGGCAAUGGCUGCUCUGUGCCCAUGGCUCUGGAUGGAGGAGGUUGUGUGCCUGGUGCUGGGGAGAUUGGGGCACUACUUCAGCGAUCCCAAUGGUCCUGGCCUCUCAUUAGCGCUGAUGAGAGCUAAGGGUGAAGCCUCUGAGCACCCACUAAGACAGAAGAGGAAGGGGUGGACAGACUAUUGCUGCUGGGAGACCAGCAGUUCUGUCCUCCUUAGGUGGAUAACUUGACCAGGAUUCAUCAGAACUGAUGUCUGGCAGCAGG